rnacentral:rRNA from 1 species
UACGUAGGGUGCGAGCGUUAAUCGGAAUUACUGGGCGUAAAGAGCGCGCAGGCGGUCGUUCAAGUCGAGUGUGAAAGCCCCCCGGCUCAACUGGGGAGGGUCACUCGAUACUGAUCGACUCGAAGGCAGGAGAGGGAAGUGGAAUUCCCGGUGUAGUGGUGAAAUGCGUAGAUAUGGGGGAGGAACACCGGUGGCGAAGGCGGCCACCUGGACGGUAACUGACGCUGAGACGCGAAAGCGUGGGGAGCAAACAGG